AUUAUUAUAAAUAAGUAUAGGUUAUACACCGAGGUCAAUAAAUGCCAUAGAAACCGAGACCGAGGUGUAUAACCGUGUUCUACCAUGCGUCCAAUCAGAUUAGAUGCAUUUCUUGUAGCUAGGAUACACAAAAA